ACUUGGCUAUCUCGCGCACCUCAGCUGCUGCCUCGAAACCUCGCGCAUAGUCAUCGAACCUGUCUCUCCGAACCCCUCCACCUCCGAAUCCCAAACUGAAACCCCCAAAUCCGCCAUAAUUGGGGGCCGCAACACCACCAAGUUUGCUCCGCCGCGAGCCCUUACGGUGGUCCCUCGUAUAUUGGCGCGCUCACUCUCCUACGAUGGUGAGGUCGAGAUCAUGCUCCGGCACCUCGCAACGCGGACCCAGUCCUCUCCCCUCUCAUCAACGUUCACCAACCCCCAACCUUCGACAAUUUCCACACUCCCUUCCUCGCCCUAACCCGUAACAUCUUGUACCAGCAACUCGCGUACAAAGCUGGCACCUCCAUCUACACUUCAUCAUGCUCUACGGGGGUGAAAACGGUGUCAUUCCCGAAACCGUUCUCUAACACCCCAACAGCUUCGCCAAAUUGGGGUUUCUGGGCGGAAGACGAGUUACCUUCAUGAUUUGGCGAAGAAGUAUCAGAACGGGAUACUCUCCGAUUCCGCCAUUGUGAACAUGGAUGAUAAGUCACUCUCUACAUUUCCUUUAGCACUCCCCACUCCCCAGUUCCUUAUAAUUUUUAUUAAAUUAUCACACAAUCAAUUAUUAUUUUCACCUGUCUUGUAAUUUUUAUUGAUAGUGAUAAAUUGUUUUAUGCUUUAUAUCUUGCAAUCUAGCAUUGUACUGCUUCAUAAAAGUCAUAACUUGAGUACUACCUAAAUUGUUUUCUGUUAGAUUUUAUGAGACCAGAUUUGUCCUUAUUUUCAUGUCUUUAAGAUUCUUGCAGUUUCACUUGUAAGAGGAACUAGAGGCAUAAUGAAAUAUUUUCAUUCUGUAAGGGGUAUAUAGAGAUGUUUGUACAACCCAAAUUCAUCACUUUUUAUAACUGGUGGCUUUGACUCUGCUAUUAAAGUACAUCAACCUCACGCUAUUCUGCCCAGGGGUUUGGAAGCAGCACAAGGGUCCCCUAGUAGGACAUAGAUGUUUUCCAUUUCCAUCCCUAAUGUGUUGGAUCAUAUUGGAUUUAUGUAUAGGUAGGAUUAUUAAAUGUAAUGAACUCACUUGGGAUGACUACUAACAUUACAAAAUUGGAUCUGAUGUUUAUAUGCCUUUGUCCAUACUCUGUUGUGUUUACCAAUUUCCAUGUUGACUGGCCUUUUUGCCUCCUUUUUUGUUGCAACAAGAGUGAAUAUGUUCGAUGUUUGCGCUUCUCCUGUCAGGAUUCUCUUUAUGUUGCUACCAAUCAUGGUUAUCUCUACCAUGCUAAAUUAUGUGAAACUGGAGGUUCACAGUGGAAUCAACUUGUCCAGAUGGCUGUAUAUGCUAUCUGGAAUAUGAUAAAGAAUGCAGAAUUUGCAAUUUACGAGGAUGAAACAAGUGAAAGAAUUAUCUUUGAUUGAAUAUGUUUUUGUGGAUGACAACUCCGGUGAUAAAUUGUCAAGCAGCUAUGCAACUGGUUUUGCAUCAGUGGAUUUCAUAGUAUGGAACUUAGUUAAUGAGAAUAAGGAGGAAGAUUAUCAUUUGGAUGCAUGCCAUCUCACAGUCCUAUCACCUCCUAGUGGUAAAUAUGAUCUUGAAAUUGUUACAGAUAUUUGUCCACAGAAAAACACAUCAUUAGAGGAUUGACCUGAUAUAAUGGCAAAAUAUACAGUUCGCAUCGAGGCUGAUAAAUCACUGUAUCCAGUGUUGUUGUCUAAUGGAAACCUAGCUGUGACUUAGAGGAUGGCAGGCAUUAUGCUGUUUGGGAGGACCCCUUCAAGAACUGGUUAGUAACUAUUACUUUCUACCUUAUCCUUUCGUUUGAAAAGAGUGUUUGAUUAUUAGAAUUGUGCAUAAUUUUCUAAAAAGAA